rnacentral:rRNA from 1 species
GUAGGGUGCGAGCGUUAAUCGGAAUUACUGGGCGUAAAGCGUGCGCAGGCGGCGCCGCAAGUCAGGCGUGAAAUCCCCGAGCUUAACUUGGGAAUGGCGCUUGAAACUACGGUGCUGGAGUGUGGCAGAGGGAGGUGGAAUUCCACGUGUAGCGGUGAAAUGCGUAGAGAUGUGGAGGAACACCGAUGGCGAAGGCAGCCUCCUGGGCCAACACUGACGCUCAUGCACGAAAGCGUGGGGAGCAAACAGGAUUAGAUACCCUGGUAGUCCACGCCCUAAACGAUGAUGACUAGUUGUUGGGGGAGUUAAAUCCCUUAGUAACGCAGCUAACGCGUGAAGUCAUCCGCCUGGGGAGUACGGUCGCAAGAUUA